CCUCAGUAACGGCGAGUGAAGCGGUAACAGCUCAAAUUUGAAAGCUAGCUCUUUUAGGGUUCGCAUUGUAAUUUGUAGAAGAUGCUUCGGGUGUGGCCCCGGUCUAAGUUCCUUGGAACAGGACGUCAUAGAGGGUGAGAAUCCCGUAUGUGACUGGGUGCUUUCGCUCAUGUGAAGCUCUUUCGACGAGUCGAGUUGUUUGGGAAUGCAGCUCAAAAUGGGUGGUAAAUUUCAUCUAAAGCUAAAUAUUGGCCAGAGACCGAUAGCGCACAAGUAGAGUGAUCGAAAGAUGAAAAGCACUUUGGAAAGAGAGUUAAACAGUACGUGAAAUUGUUGAAAGGGAAGCGCUUGCAACCAGACUUGCGCGCUGAUGAUCAUCCGGGCUUCUGCCCGGUGCACUCGUCUGCGCUCAGGCCAGCAUCGGUUUCGGUGGUGGGAUAAAGGCCUUGGGAAUGUAGCUUCUUUCGGGGAGUGUUAUAGCCCUCGGUGCAAUGCCGCCUACCGGGACCGAGGACCGCGCUUCGGCUAGGAUGCUGGCGUAAUGGUUGUAAGCGACCCGUCUUGAAACACGGACCAAGGAGUCUAACAUCUAUGCGAGUGUUUGGGUGUCAAACCCAUACGCGUAAUGAAAGUGAACGGAGGUGAGAACCCUUAAGGGUGCAUCAUCGACCGAUCCUGAUGUCUUCGGAUGGAUUUGAGUAAGAGCAUAGCUGUUGGGACCCGAAAGAUGGUGAACUAUGCGUGAAUAGGGUGAAGCCAGAGGAAACUCUGGUGGAGGCUCGCAGCGGUUCUGACGUGCAAAUCGAUCGUCAAAUUUGCGUAUAGGGGCGAAAGACU
rnacentral:rRNA from 1 species